GGCUAUCAUCGUUUCCUCCUGCGUACUGAGCAAGCUUGUUUUUUCCCCUCGCUGAGGCGAGAUGAUUUUGUUCGUAUGGUGAGCAAAUCUAUCGCUGAUGAUUGCUCUAAUGAGAUGAUCAAGCAACAGCCGCUCACAUGAUGAAAUCAUGAUGAGGUCGGAUUUUGGAGUGAGUAAAAAUUUCUUCCCCACAUCGAGCCGCCAUUGUGUUGUGGUUUGAGGAGAACAUUGGAUCAUCUACGAAUUGUUUACAUUUGUAAAACGUGCAAUAAUUGACCGCGGGCUACAUUUCUCGAUUCUUUUGUUGAAAAAGCAUAUCAAAUAUCCUAAAUCAGUUAAAAUUUAGUGAAAUAUUGUACCGGACACACGAUGCUUAGAAGAAAACAUAAAAUCAAACAUCGGAAGAUGAUGAACAUCUUACCUUACUAAUAGUUGAUUUACAGCCUCUAGGCAUCAACAAAACAUGAAGCAGCGUUUGACGAUGAAGAAGAUACCCAGUUGUGCGAUGACCAUUAACGUUGAAAAUCAAGAGGAAUACAUGGAUUGAAAAUACUUAAAGAGAAUACGCAUCGAGUCGAAUUUAAAACGGAAAAUAAUGGUCUACAAAAAGCAAAAAUAAUGGCAAAGGAAACGAGUGCGACUGGGCCGCAAUACCAUCCAAUAUUUCAUGAAAGGCCAUGUUUUGGAUUGCCAUGAUUGUUAGCAAUGGCGGAUUAAGACGAAUGGAGGCCCUAAGCGGUCACUCAAAAGUAGAGGCUUGGUUGAAGCGUCUAGCAGGGGAUUGUAUCAAAUAUCCCAACCAGAGAAGGAUUGAGUAGCAAUUAUGCUUGUGAGCGGAUGGUAGGUGCCAUUUUUGGGGCCCCUGGCCGACCCAGAUGUUCGACGCUUAAACAACUAAAUACACAUUAAAACUGAAGGAAAUACACAUCUAAUCAAUUACUUUAAAAAAUAA